UUUUUUGCCGUGAUUCUCAGCAUGGGUGUGUGUGAGUAAACCGUGCGUGCUGACGGAAAUUUCUAAUUGGAGUAUUGCCAAGGAACCUGCGUCACUCAGGUGUGUCCUGAACACACGGGACGUGAAAACCAGUGAGAUUAGGGAACAAUGAGGCAACCGAGUGGGCGUACAAAACCAACUAUGUACCUGACACACACACCUUGAGUUUGACCUAUUUUAUAAGAGCGCUACCCUCCAAUCUAAGCUCGCUUAAAACUCAAGCAGGAAUAAACCUUUCAGAAUAAAAUGCUUCAUGGCGUGAUGUCAUUGCACAAAUAUGCUUCAGCCAUAUGUAGCCUUACUGAUGCAAGGAAUGUCAAUAGCAUCAAGAAUUUAUAUAGAUUCCUUGAAUGAGUAAUUACAAUGUCAGUUUGGUGCGUGAGAAUCACCUCCCUUGUAAACCUGUCGACUCUUAAAUUCUCCUUCCGACUUGCUGGCAGAUUUUGAUUACGGCUCAAUCAUAUAAAACGAGUCGUUAACUAGAGAAAAAAAGGCUGUACUCUCACACACGCUGAGGGCUAAAAAAGCAAUGACGAGAAGCCAAGGACUGAAACCGAAGCACUGUUUUAGAUUUGAGUGUUUUGGAUUGAGCCACUGCUGAGAUGUCCUGCUGACUCAUGGGCAGAAAUGAUUACAUUUAUUCGAUACAUGUUAAGGGACUUUUACAUAUAUGGACCAGGUCCAGGAUUGAGCGUCUUAAAGAGAACUAAAAACAAUCACAUCUGAGCAAGAACAUGUUUUCAUGAAGAAACCUUCAAGUCAUUGUUGGGUGGCCAUCUGCCUCGGAGGGUUGAGUUCAGAACAUUACACAUGAUGGUAGUCCUCUGAUAGUGAUAAGUAGUACAUUUUAUUUACAAAACAUUUUUCACAGAGAUAGCUUGUUAACUGCUUCGCAUAUUGUAGUCGACAUAUUGUGCAUUAAAUCACAGCAUUUGAAAUUCUACAAGUAACGCAAGAAAAACACAAAUCAAAAUAAAUUUGAAUAAUUAUAAAUCGAAACAAUUGAGUCUGACUGGAAUGACUCCCGAAACAAAUGUCUUUACUAAUUUAAUAAUAAAAUAAUAAUAGUAAUAAGUUUUAAACCUAGACAUGUGCUUAAAUUCAAUUGAAGGAAAAUGACGUUUUUAUUUAUUUUGAUGGCAUUGAGAAGGACAUUCAUUUCAUGACAUUUUUGUGUAAAUUAUUUUUGUAAGAUGUGGAUCCACUAGCUUUGAACAAUUUAUUUUUUGAAUAGGAAAUAACCAUUAUAACAUCUUCGUCCAAGGAUUGUGAAGUAAGAAGGCAACGAUCGACAGCAAUUCGAAAGUAUGUGUGGAUUUCAUAUUCAUGAAUGCUUAUUUGUAUCUUAUCUUAAGUCUGUGAAUAAUUAUUUUUUGGGGGGUGUAUAACAGUUUUGUUGUAGCUUGAGUUAUUAAUAAAGUCUUAAAAAUGUGUGGGGGGGUUAUUGCACUGUACAAUACAUAAUUAUAAAAAUGUUUGGAAAUGUC